CAAUGGGCGCAAGCCUGAUGGAGCAACACCGCGUGAGUGAAGAAGGGUUUCGGCUCGUAAAGCUCUGUUGUUAAAGAAGAACACGUAUGAGAGUAACUGUUCAUACGUUGACGGUAUUUAACCAGAAAGUCACGGCUAACUACGUGCCAGCAGCCGCGGUAAUACGUAGGUGGCAAGCGUUAUCCGGAUUAUUGGGCGUAAGAGAGUGCAGGCGGUUUCUAAGUCUGAUGUGAAAGCCUUCGGCUUAACCGGAGAAGUGCAUCGGAAACUGGAUAACUUGAGUGCAGAAGAGGGUAGUGGAACUCCAUGUGUAGCGGUGGAAUGCGUAGAUAUAUGGAAGAACACCAGUGGCGAAGGCGGCUACCUGGUCUGCAACUGACGCUGAGACUCGAAAGCAUGGGUAGCGAACAGGAUUAGAUACCCUGGUAG
rnacentral:rRNA from 1 species